AGGUGAUAUAUUGAAAAAUGGUAUAUGUAAUUAAUAUUAUUUUAAGGAUUAUAAAUCAAAAUUUAUAAAUGAUAAAAAGAUUAACUAAAAAGUAAUCAAUCAUAAUCAUGAAAAUGAUAAAAAAUAAAAACAAGUGGAAUGAAACAUCUGAGUAACUUGUAAAAUAACCAACAGGGAUAAUAUAAGUAACGGUGAGUGAAAGUAUUAGAAUCUUAAAGUAUUACCAAGAGGUAAGAAUAAAGUAGUUUCCAACUACUAAGAAAAAAAAAUAAAUUUUAGAUUAAAGUACCGCAAGGGAAAGUAAGAAAAUAGAAUAAUAAAGAGCAAUCAUUGAAUGGUUUACCUCUUGUAUAAUGGGCCAGUGAGUUAUAUAUUUUAGUGAGAUUAAAUUCGUAUAUAAAUAGAAAUUAAUUAAAGUAUAUAGGCCCGAAAGCAAACGAUCUACACAUGUCCAAGUGUAUAUAAAACCUUAUAAGGUAUAUAUAUGACUCAAUAGGUAAUUGUAGCAAUAAUUUCUAAAGAGGUGUGUGUAGCUGUGACAGACAAAUCUGGUUUGCAGAUAGCUGGUUUUCUGCGAAAUAUAUUUUAGUAUAGCCUUUAUAAUCUGUUUAUAAUAACAGACAUUUAAACUGGUACAGCACUUAAAUACCUUUGGGGAAUUAGAAUAUAAUUUUAUCAAAAUAUUUAAACCUCGGAAUCAGUGAAUAAUGAAAUAUAAGGAGUCAGACUUAUUGCGAUAAGGUAGUAAGUCGAGAAGGAAACAACCUAGACUAUUAAAUGAAUGUCCCAAAUAUUAAUUAAGUGAAUAAAAUCUAUCCUACUUUAAUUUUUAUCCCGCCCCCCUUCGGUGGGCGGGGGAAAUAAUAUAUCCCCCCGCGAAGCGGGGGGGUUAAUUUUUAUAAAAAUGAAAAGUUAAAAUCAUAUGAUUUUACAUUAUUAUAUAUAAAUGCCGGCCUUCGGCCGGCAUUUAUAAACCUAAUCUUUUAGGCCAUAAUAUACGGGGUAUUAAAUUAUAGACAAUUAGUAAGUGGGUUUGACAAUAAUCAACUUUUAAUGAACAUGUAACAAUGCACUAAUUUUAUAUAUAUAUAUAUAAUUUUAUAUAUAUAUUUAUUAAUAAUAGAGAAAAUAUAUCGGGUCUAAAUUAAUAACAGUAUUAUAGAUAUAAUCAUAAAGAUUAUAUGGUAGCAGAAUAUAUAAUGAAAAAUUAUAAAGAGAUUGCUGGCUUGAGUAACGAUAGAUAAUAUAAGAUUAUCCCCUUAUUCAUAAGGUUUUACUAUAAACGAACGGUCCCUAAGAUUAAUAUAGAAAUAUAUAAUUAAUGGGUAAAAGAACAAGAAAAUAAAAAUGAACCGUACUGUAGACCGACACAGGUAUGAUAAAAAGGGAAUGGGAUAACUACUUUGAAUGAACUCGGCGUGCGACUUGAUAAGUCUUAAUUAAUAGUAUAACAUUUUGGUUAUAUUGUGUAUCUUCCACAUUUGUCUACUUAAACAUGCAUUAUAAGUAAUUAUUUUGUAUGAAGCUUUAAGGAAUAAGUUAUUUAUUAAAAUAACUUGACACGAUACUUAUGGUGAAUGAAAAUGAAUCGAAUGUUUGAACAAUCGUAAUUAUAUUAAUAUGGGCCCCCUUCGGGGGCCCUUAUAAUACCCCCCUUCGGGGGGAUAUAUUAGGUAAUUGAUUUAAGUAUGUCGAGUGCUUAAAUGAAGAUCAAAUAAUACCAACGAUUGAUAAUUCGGCACCUAAAAGUUGAACUGAUAUUAAUUAAGGAACAAGGUAAGCCCAAUAUUUCUCAUAAAAAAAAAGAUAGAUAUUUAAUAUACCCGCCCACUUUAUGUGGGCGGUAUUUUAUCUUUAUUUAUGAGUAGUUUAUUAUAAAAUAAGUAAUUAUGGAAAUAUAAAUAUAUAAUAUUGGGUAAAAGAUAAUUGAAAAAGCAAAUGCUUAGUGGUAAUAACUAAGAUAGGAAUAAUUAUUCUAAUCCGAGAGGGUGCAGACUUCAAUUAGAUGACUCGCUAUUAAAAAUUAAUAGAGGUAACAAUAAAGGAAAAAUAAACAUAAAAUAACCUUCACUAUGUGAGAGUUAUCUCGGUAAAAAAGCUGAGUAAAAUUUUAUGUAAAAGAUACUAUAAAGUUACUGAAUAAUUGGGAAAACCAAUGAAAAAGGAGUUGUUUGAGCCGUAUGCGAUGAAAGUCGCAUGUACGGUUCUGAACGGGGGAAAAUCUGUGAGGAUCUACCUAUCGUAAUAAAAUAAAUCGUGCGACUGUUUACCAAAAACAUAGCUUAUUGCAUACUAGUAAUAGUAAGUAUAAUAAGUGAUAUCUGCCCGGUGUUAGUUUAAUAAAUAUUAUUAUUGUUUAGAUAAUUUUAUAAAAGACUGAUAAACGGCGGUCUUAUUGUGAGGAUCCGAAGGUAGCGGUGCGACAAGAUAAGUUCAUAAUAAGAAUAAGGUGAAAAUCCUUUACAAUUGUCAUAUUUGUAAACCUAACUCAACAUGCAUUAUAAGUAAUUAUUUUGUAUGAAGCUUGAGUGACAACGGCUAUAAACUUUAACUGAUAUAAGUGAUCUAGUCUAGGUUAGAACAACAUGAUUAGUAUAAACUAAAUAGUGUAUUAAAAUCUCGUUAUAGGUAAGUAACUUGUUCAGUAUUUGGUUACUUUAUGAUUAAAAUAAUAUUGACGCUACGAAUAUUAUUAUAUGACUGAAAUAAUAAAAUAUAAUCAUCGGGAUAUAGCUAUAAUCUAAAUUGUUCAUAAAAGUCUUAUUAUGGAAACUUGGUAAGCCUUAUACAUACCUAAUUUAAAUACCCUGCAUAUGCAGGGUUAUAUUUAGGAAGUAAUAUAUAAUAUUAAUGAUCUCCCCGCCCCCCUUUGGUGGGCGGGCUUUAUUUAAUAGAAAUUAUUAUAUAGUGUAGAAGGUAAAGGAUAAAUAUAAAAAGCUAAUGAUUUUAUGUAAUGUAAAAUAUAAAGUUAUUUAACUUAUUUCGAAAGAAAGCUGACUUAUAUAUAAGGCCAUUAAAAAAAAAAUAAUAUAACAUUAUAAAUAAACGGUUUCCUUUAAGGGGCCCAUGUUUAUAAAAAGUUAUAUUAUAUUUAAGAUAAAAUAAUCAAGAUGAAAUCUUGAUGAUUAGGGGGGCCGUAGGCCCCCCCAUUAUGCCUACUAUAUAAAAAAAUAUAUAUCUAUUUUUUUAUGGAUAUAAGUAUAAUAGGGUAAUCUUAAAAAAUGGUUUGAGCCGUAUGCGAUGAAAGUCGCACGUACGGUUCUUAAGGGGGGAAAGCUUGAGAGGGCCUACCUAUCCUAACAAAUUCAUUGACGUAUAAUUGACGUCCUGCAUGAAUGAAUAUACGAUGCGAUAACUGUAUCCAAAGUAGACUCAGUGAAAUAGCAAUUGCGGUGAAAUUAGUACUAUAAUAUAUCUAUAUUAUACGCCGGGUUGGUGAAAAUCCAACUUUAUAGUUAAAAUGCCCCCGCUUCGCGGGGGGAUUUAAAAGUAUUAAUGAAUUAUCAAGAUGAAAUCUUGAUGAUUAGGGGGCCGUAGGCCCCCCCAUUAUCCCCGCCCGUAGGGCGGGAUGAUUAUAUCCCCCCUUUCAGGGGCGGGAUAUAUUAUCCGGUAUUAUCUGACAUAAUAAUUCAAAAAAAAAGAAUACAAUCGAAUAAUACUUAAUCCUUUAAAUGGGAUAAAUUACAAAAGGCAAAAUGUAAUUUAAUAACUAUAAAUAAAAAGGUGAAAACGGUUAAUGAUAUCUUAGUUAAAGACCGUCGGCAGUUGUAUAUGUCGCUACAGACUGGUUCACCGAGGUUAGACUGAAAUGUCUGUCUAAAUGUACAGUCGGAUUCUGUAAUAUAAUAGAUAAAUAUAUGAUAAAGAUAUAUUUAUUUUUUAUAUAAAGGUGAAAGAUAUAUCUAUUAUUUAGAUAUAACUUAUUAGUACAUAAGUAAGAAACCUUUGUAGGUCAAACCUACUUAAGUUAAUCAGAAUUGGAAGAUGCCGUAUAUCCGUAGGUUGACAAAAAGACCCUAUGCAGCUUUACUAUAUCUUUAUUUUGAUUUUUUAAUCAUAAUUUUAUUAUGAUUAACCCUUUUUUUAUUUAUUUCAGCAGAUUAGGUUAUAUUUAUAUUUUAAAUCAAAUGAGAUACCUAUAUAAAUAAAAAAAGAAUCUAAUUAAUAUAGUCAAAAUUCAAUAAAAAUUGAAUUGCCCUUAAAAAGGGUUAUUAAUAAACUAAUGACUUAAGUUUUAACUUAUUUAAGAAAGAGUAAAGAGGUUAGUUUCGAUGGGGCGUCGACAUCAGCGAAAGCAUCUGAUGUGUCUAAUAACAAAGAUCUUGAAUAUCAAGACUAAAUGUUUAAUUAAAUUAUUUAUUUAAUAGUAAAUAACGUACAAUAAUUCUAUAUGGUAAAUAGAAUAAAAAGAUAUGAUAGGUAUUACCUAUCUUUAAAUUUUAUCUUAUCCCCGCUAAGCUUAGCGGGGUAUAUAAGUAAGGAUAACAACAUAAUUGUGCGAUGAUAAUAACACAAACAAGUGGAAUUAGUACUUACGUAGAGUGUAGUGAACAGGCAUAAACAAAUGGUAUGGAUGUCGAUAACGGAUUAAAGUUACGCUAGGGAUUAAAUGUUAGUUCCUUUAUAUAAUAAAUUAUAUAUUAUCUCCGCGAUAGUGAGAUAGCCCUCUAAUGAGGGAAUAUUAAUUGGGUGAAUAACAAAAAACUCUUUAUCAAUAUAAAGACAAUUUGUAACGAAGUAUAUAUUAGUUUUAAUAAGAUAUAUAAACGUUCAACGACUAGUAAUUGAGUAAACUAACAAUAAUAUUACCACGAGCGCCCAAUACCUAAUUUACCCCCCGCCUGAAGAGGCGGGAUAUAAAAUGGGCCCCGAAGGGGCCCAUGAUUAUUUAAUUAAUCUUUAUAUUUUAUAUUUCUUUAAUGCCCCUUUGGGGUAUUUUAUAUUUUAAAUGAUAAUGAUUUUUUAUAUAUGGGCAUUAAGGUAAAGACAUAGUCUGAACUAUAUAGUGAUAUAUAGAAGUUGUAAUUAAAAAAGCAACAAUAACAAAAUUGAACAGGGUAAUACCGCGUGAGAGUUGAUAUCGUCAGCGGUGUUUGCCACCUCGAUGUCGUCUAGACUCGUCCUCCUGGUCGCAGCAACUAGGUAGGGUAGGACUGUUCGUCCUCUAAGGAGUUACUUGAGAUGGGUUAAUUACGACGUGAGUCAGUAAUGAUUUUAUCAUCUAUGGAUUUUUUUCUUAUCUGUUGCCUUAAGUGUACGCAAGGAUAAUAAGGUACAUUCCUAUGGUUAAUUAUUUAAUUUAGCUAAGAAUGUUGUGUUUACAUAUUGAAUGCAUAUCAAAUAUUAAAUCCUUCAGAUAAGUUUAUACAUUAUAGACUAUAAUGUUUUAGUUAAUUUGUGAUUUUCGCAUAUUUACUAAUUAAAUUAUUUAUAAUACUUAUAUUAUAAAUUAAAAUACAUAUACCU
rnacentral:rRNA from 1 species